rnacentral:misc_RNA from 1 species
GAUUAAGAACGUAGCGAAAUGCGAUAAGUAAUGUGAAUUGCAGAAUUCAGUGAAUCAUCGAAUCUUUGAACGCACAUUGCGCCCCUUGGUAUUCCGGGGGGCAUGCCUGUUCGAGCGUCAUUACAACCCUCAAGCUCUGCUUGGUCUUGGGCGUCACCGGUCCCCGGUGUGCCUUAAAAUCAGUGGCGGCGCCAUCUGGCUCUAAGCGUAGUACAUACUCUCGCUACAGACGUCCGGUGGAUGCUGGCCAGCAACCCCCAAUUUAUCAAGGUUGACCUCGGAUCAGGUAGGGAUACCCGCUGAACUUAAGCAUAUCAAUAAGCGGAGA